UGGGGAAUUUUGGACAAUGGGCGAAAGCCUGAUCCAGCAAUGCCGCGUGUGUGAAGAAGGCCUUCGGGUUGUAAAGCACUUUUGUCCGGAAAGAAAUCCUUGGCUCUAAUACAGUCGGGGGAUGACGGUACCGGAAGAAUAAGCACCGGCUAACUACGUGCCAGCAGCCGCGGUAAUACGUAGGGUGCAAGCGUUAAUCGGAAUUACUGGGCGUAAAGCGUGCGCAGGCGGUUUGCUAAGACCGAUGUGAAAUCCCCGGGCUCAACCUGGGAACUGCAUUGGUGACUGGCAGGCUAGAGUAUGGCAGAGGGGGGUAGAAUUCCACGUGUAGCAGUGAAAUGCGUAGAGAUGUGGAGGAAUACCGAUGGCGAAGGCAGCCCCCUGGGCCAAUACUGACGCUCAUGCACGAAAGCGUGGGGAGCAAACAGGAUUNGAUACCCUGGUAGUCCAGCGCCCUAAAACGAUGUCAACUAGUUGUUGGGGAUUCAUUUCCUUAGUAACGUAGCUAACGCGUGAAGUUGACCGCCU
rnacentral:rRNA from 1 species